rnacentral:sRNA from 1 species
UCGCGAGGUACUGGCGCGGGGGGCGAC